UUGCCAGACUCCUACGGGAGGCAGCAGUGAGGAAUAUUGGUCAAUGGACGAAAGUCUGAACCAGCCAUGCCGCGUGCAGGAAGACGGCUCUAUGAGUUGUAAACUGCUUUUGUACAAGGGUAAACCUGAAUACGUGUAUUCAGCUGAAAGUACUGUACGAAUAAGGAUCGGCUAACUCCGUGCCAGCAGCCGCGGUAAUACGGAGGAUGCGAGCGUUAUCCGGAUUUAUUGGGUUUAAAGGGUGCGCAGGCGGCACGGCAAGCCGGCGGUCAAAUCGCGGGGCUCAACCCCGCCCAGCCGUCGGAACUGCCGGGCUAGAGUGGGCGAGAAGUGCGCGGAAUGCGUGGUGUAGCGGUGAAAUGCGUAGAUAUCACGCAGAACUCCGAUUGCGAAGGCAGCGCACCGGCGCCCUACUGACGCUCAGGCACGAAAGCGUGGGUAUCGAACAGGAUUAGAUACCCCAGUA
rnacentral:rRNA from 1 species